CCUACGGGGGGCAGCAGUAGGGAAUUUUCCGCAAUGGGCGAAAGCCUGACGGAGCAAUACCGCGUGAGGGAUGAAUGCCUAUGGGUUGUAAACCUCUUUUUUCAGGGAGGAACACAAUGACGUGUACCUGAAGAAUAAGCAUCGGCUAACUCCGUGCCAGCAGCCGCGGUAAGACGGAGGAUGCAAGUGUUAUCCGGAAUCACUGGGCGUAAAGCGUCUGUAGGUGGUUUAAUAAGUCAACUGUUAAAUCUUGAGGCUCAACCUCAAAAUCGCAGUCGAAACUAUUAGACUAGAGUAUAGUAGGGGUAAAGGGAAUUUCCAGUGGAGCGGUGAAAUGCGUAGAUAUUGGAAAGAACACCGAUGGCGAAGGCACUUUACUGGGCUAUUACUGACACUCAGAGACGAAAGCUAGGGUAGCAAAUGGGAUUAGAUACCCGAGUAGUC
rnacentral:rRNA from 1 species